rnacentral:rRNA from 1 species
UACGAAGGGUGCAAGCGUUAAUCGGAAUUACUGGGCGUAAAGGGUGCGUAGGCGGUUCGUUAAGUCUGUCGUGAAAUCCCCGGGCUCAACCUGGGAAUGGCGAUGGAUACUGGCGAGCUAGAGUGUGUCAGAGGAUGGUGGAAUUCCCGGUGUAGCGGUGAAAUGCGUAGAGAUCGGGAGGAACAUCAGGGGCGAAGGCGGCCAUCUGGGACAACACUGACGCUGAAGCACGAAAGCGUGGGGAGCAAACAGG